ACUCUUUCGCAGGAAUAAGCGAAUGAAGACUGCAGAAGAACACGGCUAACUAUGUGCCAGCAGCCGCGGUAAUACAUAGGGUGCAAGCGUUGUCCGGAAUUAUUGGGCGUAAAGAGCUCGUAGGUGGUCGAUCACGUCGGAUGUGAAAAUCUGAGGCUUAACCUCAGACCUGCAUUCGAUACGGGUUGACUAGAGUGUGGUAGGGGAGACUGGAAUCCUGGUGUAGCGGUGGAAUGCGCAGAUAUCAGGAGGAACACCGAUGGCGAAGGCAGGUCUCUGGGCCAUUACUGACACUGAGGAGCGAAAGUGUGGGGAGCGAACAGGAUUAGAUACCCUGGUAGUCCACACCGUAAACGGUGGGCGCUAGUUGUGGGAACCUUCCACGGUUUCUGCGACGCAGCUAACGCAUUAAGCGCCCCGCCUGGGGAGUACGGUCGCAAGACUAAAACUCAAAGAAAUUGACGGGGCCCCGGACAAGCAGCGGAG
rnacentral:rRNA from 1 species